UACGUAGGUGGCAAGCGUUGUCCGGAUUUAUUGGGCGUAAAGCGCGCGCAGGUGGUGCGGUAAGUCUGCCGUGAAAUCUCCCGGCUCAACUGGGAGGGGGCGGUGGAGACUGCCGGACUGGAGGGACUCAGAGGCCGGUGGAAUUCCCGGUGUAGUGGUGAAAUGCGUAGAGAUCGGGAGGAACACCAGUGGCGAAGGCGGCCGGCUGGGGGUGCCCUGACGCUGAGGCGCGAAAGCGUGGGGAGCGAACCGGG
rnacentral:rRNA from 1 species